AACUGCGUUCAUUGACACCUAAACAGCCCUUCAAAAGUCACUCAAAUUUGAUUGCAACUAACGUGUCUAUAUUUAAUAGACUCAUUAUUUCAAAAAAUUACCAGAACAUUAUCUUUUGUUCUCUUGAAUACGAAAACAAAAAUCAUCCUUCGGUAUAUCUGUCGCAAUAUACUGUACAAUGCGUGUAUGACAUCUGGAUCUCAGAGGGACCAAACUGACAGGUCUUCAGAUCAGCCAACACACAUUCUCCUAAAUCACUGCAACACAAACACUUUUUAGCUCUUU